rnacentral:tRNA from 1 species
GCCCCUGUAGCUCAGUUGGAUAGAGCACUGGCCUCCGGAGCCAGUUGCCCGGGUUCGAGUCCCGGCGGGGGUACAA